CCGCUAAGCCGCUAAUAGCCGUGCUUCGCAAGACAAAAAAACCGCAAGACGAAGAGACUCGCGGAACGGAUUAAUUUCGUCUUGCGAGGCACCACUGUAUUUCAAGAAGCACUGUGAAAUUUGAGAUGUAUUGUUAUAAAAAAUAAUAGAAGUGGGAGGGAAGACUAAAGACAAUACUAAGGAGAAGGAAUGCGUAAUUAAGAGGUAAUGAUGGAUGAUUGUCAGAGAAGCUGAAGGAAGUCCAAAAAGAGAGAAUUUAUUUGUUAAAAAUUGGAUAAAAUUGUAUAUCUGUGUUGUAAAUCAAUAAAAAUUAUUAUAAAAAAACACAAGUGAACAGCAGAGAACCGGCACGAGUAACGCUGACACCAAACCCUACAUACAUUAAGCAAAAUAGAAACAGGUUCACCACACUUUCUCAUUUUGGUCUUCUUUUAUCUUCUUCCAGCUGCCUAUGGUUGUCAAGGAGAUUUACUACCAUCUCCCCCAGAUCCUCGACACCCACACUAAGGAACAGACGCUUUCGGCUAUUGUCAGCCUAGCCACCAAGCGCCUGCAGCCGGUCGUAGACAGCCUGUUGGACUGCUCGAUGGAGUGUGAUGAGUAAGUUUUUGUGAUGUGAAAAUGGGGAGGGCUAGAUUUAAGGGGUUUCUUAAUUUAUAUUUAUUUAUAUUGAAUUUCGUACUUGCAAAAAAUUGUGCUCCAAGUUGUGGUUUCUUUCUUUGCUAAUGUAUGUGCAAUAUAAAUAAAAUAUCAAAGGCCUGACUUUUUUUAAGAAAAGGAAAAAUGAAAAAUUCUGUUUUGAAAAAUUGCAGAAGUGCCGCAGAGAUCUGGAAGGCGUUGGUUGCCAAUCUGUAUACCAGCGGCAAGCUGCUGAGACCCCUACUGAAAAGGCUGCAGGAUGAAGACCCCAAAGCGGAAGUCACUUCCAGGCGACGCAGCACUUCUCAAAUGCCAAUGGCGGCUACCAACGCUCUGUGUCCAUAUCCUGUCGUUCCCUGAGGCUGCAGGUAUCCUGAAGAGCAAGUUCCACCACCUGCUGUUUGCACUUAGCACUCACAUCUGUUUUGUCCAUGAGGCGAGAAGAAGAGGUUCGAGGGCGACAAGUCUAAUCCCGGAGCCCUCGUCGCAUCUCGAUCCGCUGACGUGAGGGACCUGCUAAUGUAUUUGGGGGGG
rnacentral:lncRNA from 1 species